rnacentral:rRNA from 1 species
UACGGAGGGUGCGAGCGUUGUCCGGAAUCACUGGGCGUAAAGGGCGCGUAGGCGGCGCGCGCAGUCGGCGGUGAAAGCCCGGAGCUCAACUCCGGGUCGGCCGUCGAUACUCUCGUGCUUGAGCACUGUAGAGGCAGGUGGAAUUCCGGGUGUAGCGGUGGAAUGCGUAGAGAUCCGGAAGAACACCGGUGGCGAAGGCGGCCUGCUGGGCAGUUGCUGACACUGAGGCGCGACAGCGUGGGGAGCAAACAGG